UACGGAGGGUGCGAGCGUUAAUCGGAAUUACUGGGCGUAAAGAGCACGUAGGCGGUUUGUUAAGUCGGAUGUGAAAUCCCUGGGCUCAACCUGGGAACUGCACUCGAUACUGACAAGCUAGAGUAUGGGAGAGGGCUGUGGAAUUCCACGUGUAGCGGUGAAAUGCGUAGAUAUGUGGAGGAACAUCAGUGGCGAAGGCGGCGGCCUGGCCCGAUACUGACGCUGAGGUGCGAAAGCGUGGGGAGCAAACAGG
rnacentral:rRNA from 1 species